UACGGGGGGAGCAAGCGUUGUUCGGAUUUACUGGGCGUAAAGGGCGCGUAGGCGGUCAGCACAAGUCAGUUGUGAAAUCUCCGAGCUUAACUCGGAAAGGUCAACUGAUACUGUGCGACUAGAGUGCGGAAGGGGCAACUGGAAUUCUCGGUGUAGCGGUGAAAUGCGUAGAUAUCGAGAGGAACACCUGCGGCGAAGGCGGGUUGCUGGGCUGACACUGACGCUGAUGCGCGAAAGCGUGGGGAGCAAACAGG
rnacentral:rRNA from 1 species